CCUACGGGAGGCAGCAGUGGGGAAUAUUGCGCAAUGGGCGAAAGCCUGACGCAGCAACGCCGCGUGAGGGACGACGGCCUUCGGGUUGUAAACCUCUUUCAGCAGGGAAGAAGCGAAAGUGACGGUACCUGCAGAAGAAGCACCGGCUAACUACGUGC
rnacentral:rRNA from 1 species